rnacentral:rRNA from 1 species
AUGCACGAGGGUACCGACUCCGUCAAGGAAUCGAAAUUGGAUGUGCUUCAAAGUCAACUUGACAAGUUCAAAAUGAAGGAUGGUGAAGGUGUCGCUGAAAUGUACUCUAGGCUUGCUCUCAUCACAAAUGAGAUUGCCGGCUUAGGAAGUGAGGAGAUGACCGAUAGAUUCGUCAUCAAGAAGAUCCUAAGAGCCUUGGAUGGAAAAUAUGAUACCGUGUGCACAUUGAUGCAAAUGAUUCCCAAUUACAAAGAUCUCAAGCCAAUGAAAAUCAUUGGAAGAAUUGUUGCUCAUGAGAUGUCACUCAAGGGUAAGGAAGAGCUUCACAACAAGUCAAGUGGUGCUUACAAAGCCUCAUGUGAUGCUCCUACAUCAUCAAGUGAGAAACAAACCUCCAAUGAGGAAUUGAGCCUAAUGGUGAAGAACUUCAACAAGUUCUACAAGAAUAGAAGCAAGGAAAGAAGUUCCAAGUCAAGGUCCUACAAUGACAAAAGAUCUUCAAGUCAUGAGCGUAAUUGCUAA